UAGAAAUGAUAGAAGGUCAUACAAACAGGUUAAUAUUACAUCAACAUCACCUGCCUACUUUGAUGCUGGAUGCAAUCUGGAUUUAAUAAAGUAAAUCAUACAA